rnacentral:rRNA from 1 species
UCCGGUUGAUCCUGCCGGACCUGACUGCUAUCGGAUUGGUACUAAGCCAUGCGAGUCAUUGUAGCAAUACAAGGCGGACGGCUCAGUAACACGUAGUCAACCUAACUCGUGGACGUGGAUAACCUCGGGAAACUGAGAAUAAACCACGAUAGAUCAUAGUGCCUGGAAUGGCUUAUGGUCCAAACAGUUUACUGCCAUGGGAUGGGACUGCGGCCUAUCAGCUUGUUGGUGAGGUAAUGGCCCACCAAGGCGAUUACAGGUACGGGCUCUGAGAGGAGUAGCCCGGAGAUGGGUACUGAGACACGGACCCAGGCCCUAUGGGGCGCAGCAGGCGAGAAACCUUAGCAAUGUGCGAAAGCACGACUGGGUCAGUCCGAGUGAUUCCUGAUAAAGGAGUCUUUUACCUGUCCUAAAAGCACAGGUGAAUAAGGGGUGGGCAAGUCUGGUGUCAGCCGCCGCGGUAAUACCAGCACCUCGAGUGGUCAGGACGUUUAUUGGGCCUAAAGCAUCCGUAGCCGGCUCUGCAAGUCUUCGGUUAAAUCCACCUGCUCAACAGAUGGGCCGCUGGAGAUACUACAGAGCUAGGGAGUGGGAGAGGCAGACGGCAUUCAGUGGGUAGGGGUAAAAUCCUCUGAUCCAUUGAGGACCACCAGUGGCGAAGGCGGUCUGCCAGAACACGUUCGACGGUGAGGGGAUGAAAGCUGGGGGAGCAAACCGGAUUAGAUACCCGGGUAGUCCCAGCUGUAAACGAUGCAAACUCGGUGAUGCAUUGGCUUAUGGCCAAUGCAGUGCCGCAGGGAAGCCGUUAAGUUUGCCGCCUGGGAAGUACGGACGCAAGUCUGAAACUUAAAGGAAUUGGCGGGGGAGCACAA